ACGUGCUAAUACCGCAUACNCCCCGUUCGGGGGAAAGAUUUAUCGCUGUUUGAGGGUCCUGCGUUCGAUUAGCUAGUUGGUGAGGUAACGGCCCACCAAGGCGACGAUCGAUAGCUGGUCUGAGAGGAUGAUCAGCCACACUGGGACUGAGACACCGGCCCAGACUCCUACGGGGAGGCAGCAGGUGGGAAUAUUGGACAUGGGGGAAACCCUGAUCCAGCAAUGCCGCGUGCGUGAAGAAGGCCUUAGGGUUGUAAAGCGCUUUCACCUGUGAUGAUGAUGACAGUAGCAGGAGAAGAAGCCCCGGCUAACUCCGUG
rnacentral:rRNA from 1 species